AGUGAACGCUGGCGGUAGGCCUAACACAUGCAAGUCGAACGGCAGCACAGUAAGAGCUUGCUCUUACGGGUGGCGAGUGGCGGACGAGUGAGGAAUACAUCGGAAUCUACUUUUUCGUGGGGGAUAACGUAGGGAAACUUACGCUAAUACCGCAUACGACCUACGGGUGAAAGCAGGGGAUCUUCGGACCUUGCGCGAUUGAAUGAGCCGAUGUCGGAUUAGCUAGUUGGCGGGGUAAAGGCCCACCAAGGCGACGAUCCGUAGCUGGUCUGAGAGGAUGAUCGGGCAAACCGAAAUUGAGACAAGGACCAGACUACCACGGGGGGCCGAAGGGGGGAAAAUUGGACAAUGGGAGAAAGCCUAGCCCAGCCAGCACGCGUGGGGGAAGAAGGCCUUCGGGUUGUAAAGCCCUUUUAUUGGGAAAGAAAAGAAGCAGGUUAAAACCCCCGUGUUCUGGGGUGACCCAAAAAAAAAGCAGCGGCCAACUUCGU
rnacentral:rRNA from 1 species